GUACGGGGGGGGCAAGCGUUGUUCGGAAUUACUGGGCGUAAAGGGCGUCGUAGGCGGCCAACUAAGUCAGACGUGAAAUCCCCAGGCUCAACCUGGGAACUGCGUCUGAUACUGGAUGGCUUGAAUCCGGGAGAGGGAUGCAGAAUUCCAGGUGUAGCGGUGAAAUGCGUAGAUAUCUGGAGGAACACCGAUGGCGAAGGCAGCCCCCUGGUCAAGACUGACGCUCAUGCACGAAAGCGUGGGGAUCAAACAGG
rnacentral:rRNA from 1 species